rnacentral:misc_RNA from 1 species
GGAAGUAAAAGCGUAACAAGGUUUCCGUAGGUGAACCUGCGGAAGGAUCAUUAUUGUAUACCCGAGGUGCGAGGGCUGUCGCUGACCCGAAAGGUCGUGCACGCCCGAGUGCCCUCACACACAUCCAUCUCACCCCUAUGUGCACCACCGCGUGGGUCCCCCUUUGGCUUGUUCGGAGGGGGGCUUACGUUUUCACACAAACUUUGUAUGCAGUGUAGAAUGUAUUUUUUGUUUUUGCGAUCACGCAAUCAAUACAACUUUCAACAACGGAUCUCUUGGCUCUC